CCCUCGAGCAAGACCAAAGAAUACAUGAUCUGAUGCAUAAUGAGAUGGAGCCCUACUGGCCCAGGUACCAACAACCCUAAUAAGCCAUAUUGUUAUCUUGUUAGUGGUUCCAAAGACAGAAUAGUGAGAGUAUGGGAUUGUUUUUAUGGGCAGCUCCUCUAUUGCUUUAAUGGUCAUAGGUACCCUGAUAAUUAAAUUUCUAACUGAUACUUCAAUGCAUAUUUUACCAUACUUUUGAUGUGAAAAUUCAUAUAAUUUCGUGCGCUAGGGCAUUUAUAGUUGAAUUAGUGUUUCGUUCGGAUGGUGAGUAUUUGGCAAGCGCAUCAGUGGAUAAGUGUUUACUCAUAUGGAAUAUCAGAGAUAGGAAAAUUAUGAAGUUCCACAACUCCUGUGACACUUCGAUUUAUAAUCUUUCUUGGUAUAACGACAGUCUUCGCUAUUUCUCUACGAUUCUUCCAAUCUUUAACUCACACUAGCUCUCUUUGGGUGGCAUUCUCUGCUUCUCUGAGAUGACUGAGAAUGAUAUAGAGGAUUACCUUUAUGGUGCUCGUGUUACAAUCCUUGCUGUGGCUUUUGUUGUCACAUUACUUUUGCGCAGUAAACGACGUAGAAUUUGUAGAGAACCCUCUCGUGGUUGAUCAAAAAUUAGAGAGCAAUAUUUAUCAAGAUUAAUAGAUGGAAAUGACACUACUAGUAUCAACAUGGUUUGUAUGAACAAAUCAACCUUCUGUAAACUUUGCUCGAUAAUGAGAAGAAAAGGUCUUAUGCGAGAUACUUGGACCACUGUCGAAAGUUGAUUUUUCAUAAGAUUUAUGGCUUCUCAAGUGGAGCAAGGCUUGAAAGUCGAUAAGGGUUUCAAACCUCAAGCACUCCAUGCAUCAAUCAUUGCAAUAAAGAAUAAGUUCAGAAUUAUAGUCACUAAAGCAAAUGUGAAUAACCACUUGAGAACAAUUCACAAAAGAUGGGCAAGAAUUAAAAAAUUGAAAGAGUUUAAGCGGAAUGGGUUGGGAUAACAGAUUGAAGAUGAUAAUCAUGGGAGAAUCAGAGUUCAAGAACUACAUUAAGAUUCAUCCACAUGAUGAGCCCUACUUAAACAAACAAAUCGAGGAUCAUGACUUGCUUGAGAUUGUUUGCGGUAAUGAUCAAGCAACUGGACGACGUGCUGUGCAAUUUGGAGAUGAAAUUGGCACCCAUAUAAAUGAUAGCGAUGAGUACCGCCAUCCAUCUCAGACUGAUAGUCUUGAUGACAUGUUUGAGGACACUUAUUUUCAUGUCAAUAUACCACUGCCCACCCACAACCAAUCAGAGAGUACAGAAAAUAGGGGGGAAUCUUCUGCUCAGUCAAAAAAAGGAAAAGGAAAACGGAAAAUGCCCACUGAAGUUGAAGCAAUACAAGAGAUUAAUAACACAAUUAAAGAGACAUUGCUAACAAAGAAGUCUACUCAAAAUUUGGAAUUUGCAAAAGAAUUGAUUGGUGAGUGCAUGAAAUUGAAAGUAUAUGGCUACUGUGGCCAUCAAAUCAAUAAGGCCUAUGAUUGGUUAAUGUCCGACGAUAGUAGAGCUAUGGCUUUCUUAGCAAAGGAUGAAAGCUAUGGAAGUAUUGGGCGAAGGACUUCUUUGAAUCAAUUCACAAACAAGAAGAAUAUUUUCGAAGUCCCAUUUAGGUUUGUUUUUGUGUGUGUGUGUGUGUUAUGAUGUUGUUAUGAACCUACUAUGUUACCAAUUUUCUUUAGUAGGGUGUUGGAGCAUGUGGACAUGAUUUAUCAAUGAAACCUAGACGAAUGCUACUGGUUAUUUAUCGUAUUGAAAAGCCGCAAAUGUAGCAUGAGAUUGUAAACUCUAAAAUUUGACUAUGUAAUGAUUGCCUUCUUGAUUUUGGAUGUGUUUUUUUGUAUAUGUGCACUAAUUGUUGAGUUAUUUUUGUGUUGUUAAGUAU